CUCAUGAUCGGAUAAUAUGCUAAAAAAAUGUGUGACAGUUUUUGAUUAACAAUAUUUUGUACUAUAAGUUUGUUUUAUUAAUGAUAGUCAGAAAACUACUACCAAGAAAGAUACAGGAGAUUUUCGAAUUAGAUCUUAUCCUUACGGUGGUCUUAGCUUCUAGAUCUAAUAUUUUAUAAGAUAAUGAACUUAGAGCUUUAAAAGUCUCAACAGGAUUCAUAGAAUAGACAACUAUUUUGUCAACGCUCCAAAGUCCAACUGGUGUCACCCAAAUUUUAGAUAGUGAUAUGUCGUGAACGAAUGCUGUAUUACAAAAUUUUGUGACAAUUUUUGCUUCAAAAGAUAAUAACUCUAGACUCUCAGGUAGACGUUCCAAGUUCCAGCUACUUUCAACUAAAUUUUAAAUAGUGAUAACUCAUGAAUGGACGAUUUGUUAAAGAAUCUUGUAACCGUUUUUGAGAGACAAAAUCUUGUACUAUAAGUUCGUUAAAAUUGAUAAUAAUCCGAAAACUACUACUAAGAAAGAUCUCUUGUAGAGAUCUUCAUGUUAAAUCCUGUUCCUAGGGAAAUACUCAGCUUCUGGAUCUAAAACCUUAUGAAAUAACAGUUGUACAAUUUUAGAAGUCUUUACAAACACCGUAGAAUAAAUAGUUUUCUUCCAA